GAACGAUGAAGCCUUUCGGGGUGGAUUAGUGGCGAACGGGUGAGUAACACGUGGGCAAUCUGCCCUUCACUCUGGGACAAGCCCUGGAAACGGGGUCUAAUACCGGAUAACACUCUGUCCCGCAUGGGACGGGGUUAAAAGCUCCGGCGGUGAAGGAUGAGCCCGCGGCCUAUCAGCUUGUUGGUGGGGUAAUGGCCUACCAAGGCGACGACGGGUAGCCGGCCUGAGAGGGCGACCGGCCACACUGGGACUGAGACACGGCCCAGACUCCUACGGGAGGCAGCAGUGGGGAAUAUUGCACAAUGGGCGAAAGCCUGAUGCAGCGACGCCGCGUGAGGGAUGACGGCCUUCGGGUUGUAAACCUCUUUCAGCAGGGAAGAAGCGAAAGUGACGGUACCUGCAGAAGAAGCGCCGGCUAACUACGUGCCAGCAGCCGCGGUAAUACGUAGGGCGCAAGCGUUGUCCGGAAUUAUUGGGCGUAAAGAGCUCGUAGGCGGCUUGUCACGUCGGAUGUGAAAGCCCGGGGCUUAACCCCGGGUCUGCAUUCGAUACGGGCUAGCUAGAGUGUGGUAGGGGAGAUCGGAAUUCCUGGUGUAGCGGUGAAAUGCGCAGAUAUCAGGAGGAACACCGGUGGCGAAGGCGGAUCUCUGGGCCAUUACUGACGCUGAGGAGCGAAAGCGUGGGGAGCGAACAGGAUUAGAUACCCUGGUAGUCCACGCCGUAAACGUUGGGAACUAGGUGUUGGCGACAUUCCACGUCGUCGGUGCCGCAGCUAACGCAUUAAGUUCCCCGCCUGGGGAGUACGGCCGCAAGGCUAAAACUCAAAGGAAUUUGACGGGGGCCCGCACAAGCAGCGGAGCAUGUGGCUUAAUUCGACGCAACGCGAAGAACCUUACCAAGGCUUGACAUAUACCGGAAAGCAUCAGAGAUGGUGCCCCCCUUGUGGUCGGUAUACAGGUGGUGCAUGGCUGUCGUCAGCUCGUGUCGUGAGAUGUUGGGUUAAGUCCCGCAACGAGCGCAACCCUUGUUCUGUGUUGCCAGCAUGCCCUUCGGGGUGAUGGGGACUCACAGGAGACUGCCGGGGUCAACUCGGAGGAAGGUGGGGACGACGUCAAGUCAUCAUGCCCCUUAUGUCUUGGGCUGCACACGUGCUACAAUGGCCGGUACAAUGAGCUGCGAUGCCGCGAGGCGGAGCGAAUCUCAAAAAGCCGGUCUCAGUUCGGAUUGGGGUCUGCAACUCGACCCCAUGAAGUCGGAGUUGCUAGUAAUCGCAGAUCAGCAUUGCUGCGGUGAAUACGUUCCCGGGCCUUGUACACACCGCCCGUCACGUCACGAAAGUCGGUAACACCCGAAGCCGGUGGCCCAACCCCUUGUGGGAGGGAGCUGUCGAAGGUGGGACUGGCGAUGGGACGAAGUC
rnacentral:rRNA from 1 species